rnacentral:lncRNA from 1 species
GCAUCACUCUCAACUGAAUCCGAAGUUAAAUUGACAGGGGUAUGGAUUUUUGAGCCAACUACUGGUUAGGCGUGAGAAAGGCUGGAUUCUCCGAUGGCGGAUGGACAUCCAUCGGUGAAGGUUGGCCUCUAGGAGUAGAAAACGAGAAGGGACGUGUGAGACGCUUGGUACGCGUCACAACUUUUAUACCCGGCACUCAGUACAACAUCUACUCCUUAGCGGUUAUUUGUCAAAUUUUACAUAUUUUCUUCAUCUGUCAUCUACAUCAACAACACUACUCACACCAACACGCUCCUUUAGCUCGCCGCCCUUCCCUAGACCCACACACUGCAGACUCGCGGCAGAGGCAGAGGCAGCGCCCGCGCGCAAAAAAAAACAAAUAUAAGAUGUGGGACGGGGUGGGAUAAAAGUCGUCAGGGGCGUUGGCAGGGGGAGGGCAGAGGCAGAGGCCGAGUGAAGAAGAAUCAGAGUGUGAAUGAGAGAAUGUAAAAAGAACAACAAAGCUUCGGGACAGGGUGGGUUUAGCCACUGAAAAUUAAUUUCUCCAUUGUGGCUAUAGUAAUGAUCCAAUCGGAUCCCAAUUUGGUGAUCUGAUAGAUAUAGCCAUUCCCUACAGAAUUUUUAGUUUUUAGAUUUCUUUUAUCUUCAAAAUUGUAGGUUUGGUCGGUUUUCGCCCUUUUGCGGGUGCGGAAGGGGGCGAAAUUUUGAAAUACACUGGUUUCAGCGUAAGCAUACAGCAGUCUGGAGCCAAAAUUUGGUGACUCUAGGUCUUAUAGUUUCUGAGAACUAGCCGACAAACAAGACGGACAGACGGACGGACGGACAGACAGACAUGACUCUAUUGACUCGGCUAUUGAUGCUGAUCAAGAAUAUAUAUACUUUAUGGGGUCGGAAACGUUUCCUUCUGUGCUUUAUAUACAACCGUUAUUCACACAAAUACAAUAUACCCUAUUUACUCUUCGAGUACCGGGUAUAAUGAGUCCAUCAGUUGUAGGUGAGAGGCAGGCGUUCCACUAGGUAAGACCAGCAGUAGAUUGUUGUUCGGUAUUUUCCUCCUUGGUGACUAGCUCAAGAGUUUGAGGCCCAGAAAUUGCGAUUCCAAAGUAAGGAACUUCUCGUUGAGAGCAUUGAAUUACUUCCGAACAACUUGGAAACCAUUCCUCGUUUGUCUCAUAAAGAUGCGCAUUUACGCCUCAAUCUCCCUGCAGGCCAAACAUGACCAAGUAAGACCCAUGCGGAUUUCUUUGCACUGCAGAUAAGAGCCAUUUUCAACAGCUGUUGGGUCACUGUGCACAGCAAGAAAAAAGACGCACUGAGAGCACAAGCUAGAUGAGAGACCAGGCAGCAUUAGCAGCAGAACGAGCACGAUGAUCAGCAGUUAUGUAUGCACGUAUGUAUGUACAUAUAUACAGGGUAGACGGCGCAGCGAAGUGACGAAAGCUAACGGCGAACUCCAAUAAAGCAAAGCAGAGACGCCGAGAUAUUCGUCCAAAAACGAAGAAUGUUGGCGUCGUAUGGUGAGAGUGAAAUCCAGAAAGUGAGUAGGCAGUGCAACGGACCAUGGUAGAAUUACUAAUAGGUAUCGUCAUCAGCUGAGUGGAGGAUCACCAGCUUAUUCACCACGCUCUCUCAGCUCUCAGAGAGGCAAGCGCUAGAGAGAGAUAGCAAACGUUUUAAGUUCUGCACUAUUCGCUUUUAUUGUUUCUGCUGGCAGCAAGUAAAGAUUUGGAGCGGC